rnacentral:piRNA from 1 species
UGNGAAACAGAGAAGUGCUCACGUUGUG